rnacentral:rRNA from 1 species
UACGGAGGAUCCGAGCGUUAUCCGGAUUUAUUGGGUUUAAAGGGUGCGCAGGCGGGAUGUUAAGUCGGCGGUGAAAUUUUGCGGCUCAACCGUAAAAGUGCCUUCGAAACUGGCAUUCUUGAGUAUGGAUGAAGUAGGCGGAAUUUGUGGUGUAGCGGUGAAAUGCUUAGAUAUCACGAGGAACUCCGAUUGCGCAGGCAGCUUACUAAACCAUAACUGACGCUCAUGCACGAAGGCGUGGGGAUCAAACAGGAUUAGAUACCCGUGUAGU